AACGAACGCUGGCGGCAGGCUUAACACAUGCAAGUCGAACGCGUGCAGCAAUGCACGAGUGGCGCACGGGUGAGUAACGCGUGGAUAUCUGCCUUCUGGUUCGGAAUAACCCCGGGAAACUGGGGCUAAUACCGAAUGGUUCCUACGGGAUAAAGAUUUAUCGCCAGAAGAUGAGUCCGCGUCCGAUUAGCUAGUUGGUGAGGUAACGGCUCACCAAGGCGACGAUCGGUAGCUGGUCUGAGAGGACGAUCGGCCACACUGGGACUGAGACACGGCCCAGACUCCUACGGGAGGCAGCAGUGGGGAAUAUUGGACAAUGGGGGCAACCCUGAUCCAGCCAUGCCGCGUGAGUGAUGAA
rnacentral:rRNA from 1 species